rnacentral:rRNA from 1 species
AGGACGAACGCUGGCGGCGUGCUUAACACAUGCAAGUCGAGCGGAAAGGCCCUUCGGGGUACUCGAGCGGCGAACGGGUGAGUAACACGUGAGCAACCUGCCCCUAGCUCUGGGAUAGCUCCGGGAAACCGGGAUUAAUACCAGAUACGACCACUUUAGACAUCUGCUGUGGUGGAAAGGAUUCCGGCUAGGGAUGGGCUCGCGGCCUAUCAGCUUGUUGGUGGGGUAACGGCCUACCAAGGCGACGACGGGUA